UCAUAAAAAAAAUCUGAGAAUUCGUGAACCCCUCUCAAAGAAUCUUCUAGUUUCCAUAAAAACAGAAAAAGAUUUCUUGACCCCUUUUCAAACAUUCUUCUCCAAAAAUUCUAAAAUCAACAAUUUGAUUUCUAAAUAAUUACUCUUACUAGCACAUUAGUGAAGAAAUUCCAUUGAAGGUGGUGUGGACUUGCAUUGAAGGGAAGACGGGUGUGCCCCUAUCAUAAACGAAAAAAUGAAAUAGUUACUUUUCCUUGGAAAGAAGGGGCAUCGCUUCCUAUUGCUUGCUAGGAAAUGGAUCGUCAUUUAAAUCAUCUUGUUCAGUUGGAGUGCAUCAAUGAUUAGUAAUCUAAAUCUAGUUCAACAGAUAUUUGCUUUGAAUGCAUGAGAUGUAUGUCUUGAUAGCAACUAUAUGAUGGCAAAUUUUUACUUUUGUUAGGGUUUGCAUUUGAGGAUAGAUAGACAGAUGUGUGGAUCAGCUCAAGGUGGGAUGGGUGAUGAUGACCCAAGUAGUCCAUAAAGCCUCAACCCAAGGUUUCUAAGGAAUGAAUGAUCCAGUAGGAUACUAUAGCCUAGGUGCAGAUUAGGAUGACACUCCAAAAAAAACCUACUUGGAUUGCAUGAUGAUGAUUCUACAAGGAAAGGAAACAUGUCUCAGGCCAUAUGCUCCGCCGCUGUGUCUCUCAACUUUAAUUCCCCAUUAACAGACGCCUCAAUUGGCAGAUUGCAUCGCUUUAGGACAGCUGCCGCCGUCGCGAGUCCCUCCCGGUGGUCUCUUCAUGGCUCCACCGCCCUCGUUACCGGCGGUACCAGAGGUAUUGGACAUGCGAUUGUGGAGGAGUUGGCUGGGCUUGGGGCUGCUGUGCACACGUGUGCCAGAAGCAAAGACGAGCUGGAUAAAUGCUUGAGGGGUUGGGAAGAUGAGGGUUUUGGGAUCACGGGUUCAGUGUGUGACGUGUCUUCUCAAGCAGACCGGGAGAAGUUACUGGAUUCUGUUUCCUCUAUAUUCAAUCAGAAGUUGAAUAUUCUUAUAAAUAACGUUGGGACAAACAUCCGAAAGCCUAUGGUUGAUUUUACAUCUGAAGAAGUCUCAAUGCUCAUGGGAACAAAUUUUGAAUCUGCUUUUCACAUGUGCCAACUUGCAUAUCCUCUCCUGAAAGCCUCUGGUGCAGGAAGUGUUGUGUUCACCUCAUCAGUCUCUGGUUUUGUUUCGUUGAAGUAUAUGUCUGUCCAUGGAGCAUCUAAAGGUGCAAUCAAUCAACUUACCAAAAAUUUGGCAUGUGAGUGGGCAAGAGAUGGUAUCAGGGUUAAUGCUGUUGCACCUUGGUACAUCAAAACCUCCAUGGUGGAGCAAGUGCUAAGCAACAAAAAAUACUUGGAAGAAGUAUAUGAUAGAACUCCAAUGCGUCGUCUUGGUGAUCCAACGGAAGUCUCGUCUAUGGUGGCAUUCCUUUGUCUACCUGCUUCAUCCUUCAUCACUGGCCAGAUUGUCUGUGUUGAUGGUGGGAUGUCUGUGAACGGUUUUUAUCCAAGCCAAAGUUAAGGGCUGUGCGGGAUAUAGUUGUCGGAGCUCAAAGGAGGAGGGGCAGAGGCCAGCCGUGGAGAAGAACGGAGGGAUGGAUGCCAAUAUCGAGCCUGAACUGCCCUUGGCUGGUUGGGGUGCCCCCCGUCAGGACUUCGCUGGGCGCUUUCCUUUGAACACCUUGGGAGUUUAGGGAGGUGUUUAUCAGCAUCCGACAUCCGAAAAAUGGAGGGACGUCCCAUAUCUCAACUGGUGGUGCGUCUGAUAGUGCAUAAGACUCUACCUUCCGGGCCUGCAAGUAGAGGAUGCCGAGCCUUGACCCACAGCUCUCUCAAAGCCGCUACGGAUGGAUGCUCGUUGGCUACCAAGGAACCCUCUCCGAUCACUCAUUGAUGACAUCUCAAUGUGCAUAGUGGGCUGAGUCGGCCUAAGACUGGUAUAGAUCAGCCCGUAAAAGCUCGACUCAGGACCGACCCACAAUUAUUUAUGGUCAGUCUGGAGCCUCUAAGUGGGCCCCAAUUGGGUCUAUUUUAAAAUUCAGACCCAACCAUGGAUCGGCCUAGUUGAGGCUCGGACCAAGCCCAGACUAGGCCUGCAUUAGGCCCAGAUGUGCUUGUUUAGUUUUUUAUGAUAUUGAGAUUUUCUUAUAAAUAAUUAUGGAUUGGAUAAUUCAGUCCGAUCCACUGUACAUCUUGAAAUUGACAUUUAAAAACCCCAAAAGAAAGUGAAUACACAAAACCAAAAAGGGUGAGGGAAGACAAACUAAAAGAACAAAUCCCUGAAAAAUGGGAGAAGAGUAAAGAAAGGAAAGAGAUGAGGACUUGAUGAAACAACUGGAACUUGGGUUCCCCGGGGCUUAAAAUAGAGAGAAAGAAAGCAAAUGGCAUGACAGGGCUGCAGGUAAAGCGGGUGGGUUCGAUUGCGAGUAGGGACGGCCGCAUCCUGGAGAAAGGA